GACGAACGCUGGCGGCGUGCUUAACACAUGCAAGUCGAACGGAAAGGCCCUGCUUGCAGGGUGCUCGAGUGGCGAACGGGUGAGUAACACGUGGGUGAUCUGCCCCUUACUUUGGGAUAAGCCUGGGAAACUGGGUCUAAUACUGGAUAGGACCAUGCUGUAGGCGGUGUGGUGGAAAGAUUAGUUUCGGUAAGGGAUGAGCUCGCGGCCUAUCAGCUGGUUGGUGGGGUAAUGGCCUACCAAGGCGUCGACGGGUAGCCGGCCUGAGAGGGUGGACGGCCACAUUGGGACUGAGAUACGGCCCAGACUCCUACGGGAGGCAGCAGUGGGGAAUAUUGCACAAUGGGCGCAAGCCUGAUGCAGCGACGCCGCGUGGGGGAUGACGGCCUUCGGGUUGUAAACUCCUUUCAGCCAUGACGAAGCCCUUGUGGUGACGGUAGUGGUAGAAGAAGCACCGGCUAACUACGUG
rnacentral:rRNA from 1 species